rnacentral:rRNA from 1 species
UGACUGCGUACCUUUUGUAUAAUGGGUCAGCGACUUAUAUUCUGUAGCAAGGUUAACCGAAUAGGGGAGCCGAAGGGAAACCGAGUCUUAACCGGGCGUUAAGUUGCAGGGUAUAGACCCGAAACCCGGUGAUCUAGCCAUGGGCAGGUUGAAGGUUGGGUAACACUAACUGGAGGACCGAACCGACUAAUGUUGAAAAAUUAGCGGAUGACUUGUGGCUGGGGGUGAAAGGCCAAUCAAACCGGGAGAUAGCUGGUUCUCCCCGAAAGCUAUUUAGGUAGCGCCUCGUGAAUUCAUCUCCGGGGGUAGAGCACUGUUUCGGCAAGGGGGUCAUCCCGACUUACCAACCCGAUGCAAACUGCGAAUACCGGAGAAUGUUAUCACGGGAGACACACGGCGGGUGCUAACGUCCGUCGUGAAGAGGGAAACAACCCAGACCGCCAGCUAAGGUCCCAAAGUCAUGGUUAAGUGGGAAACGAUGUGGGAAGGCCCAGACAGCCAGGAUGUUGGCUUAGAAGCAGCCAUCAUUUAAAGAAAGCGUAAUAGCUCACUGGUCGAGUCGGCCUGCGCGGAAGAUGUAACGGGGCUAAACCAUGCACCGAAGCUGCGGCAGCGACACUGUGUGUUGUUGGGUAGGGGAGCGUUCUGUAAGCCUGUGAAGGUGUGCUGUGAGGCAUGCUGGAGGUAUCAGAAGUGCGAAUGCUGACAUAAGUAACGAUAAAGCGGGUGAAAAGCCCGCUCGCCGGAAGACCAAGGGUUCCUGUCCAACGUUAAUCGGGGCAGGGUGAGUCGACCCCUAAGGCGAGGCCGAAAGGCGUAGUCGAUGGGAAACAGGUUAAUAUUCCUGUACUUGGUGUUACUGCGAAGGGGGGACGGAGAAGGCUAUGUUGGCCGGGCGACGGUUGUCCCGGUUUAAGCGUGUAGGCUGGUUUUCCAGGCAAAUCCGGAAAAUCAAGGCUGAGGCGUGAUGACGAGGCACUACGGUGCUGAAGCAACAAAUGCCCUGCUUCCAGGAAAAGCCUCUAAGCAUCAGGUAACAUCAAAUCGUACCCCAAACCGACACAGGUGGUCAGGUAGAGAAUACCAAGGCGCUUGAGAGAACUCGGGUGAAGGAACUAGGCAAAAUGGUGCCGUAACUUCGGGAGAAGGCACGCUGAUAUGUAGGUGAAGUCCCUCGCGGAUGGAGCUGAAAUCAGUCGAAGAUACCAGCUGGCUGCAACUGUUUAUUAAAAACACAGCACUGUGCAAACACGAAAGUGGACGUAUACGGUGUGACGCCUGCCCGGUGCCGGAAGGUUAAUUGAUGGGGUCAGCGCAAGCGAAGCUCUUGAUCGAAGCCCCGGUAAACGGCGGCCGUAACUAUAACGGUCCUAAGGUAGCGAAAUUCCUUGUCGGGUAAGUUCCGACCUGCACGAAUGGCGUAAUGAUGGCCAGGCUGUCUCCACCCGAGACUCAGUGAAAUUGAACUCGCUGUGAAGAUGCAGUGUACCCGCGGCAAGACGGAAAGACCCCGUGAACCUUUACUAUGCUUGACACUGAACAUUGAGCCUUGAUGUGUAGGAUAGGUGGGAGGCUUUGAAGUGUGGACGCCAGUCUGCAUGGAGCCGACCUUGAAAUACCACCCUUUAAUGUUUGAUGUUCUAACGUGGACCCGUGAUCCGGGUUGCGGACAGUGUCUGGUGGGUAGUUUGACUGGGGCGGUCUCCUCCUAAAGAGUAACGGAGGAGCACGAAGGUUGGCUAAUCCUGGUCGGACAUCAGGAGGUUAGUGCAAUGGCAUAAGCCAGCUUGACUGCGAGCGUGACGGCGCGAGCAGGUGCGAAAGCAGGUCAUAGUGAUCCGGUGGUUCUGAAUGGAAGGGCCAUCGCUCAACGGAUAAAAGGUACUCCGGGGAUAACAGGCUGAUACCGCCCAAGAGUUCAUAUCGACGGCGGUGUUUGGCACCUCGAUGUCGGCUCAUCACAUCCUGGGGCUGAAGUAGGUCCCAAGGGUAUGGCUGUUCGCCAUUUAAAGUGGUACGCGAGCUGGGUUUAGAACGUCGUGAGACAGUUCGGUCCCUAUCUGCCGUGGGCGCUGGAGAACUGAGGGGGGCUGCUCCUAGUACGAGAGGACCGGAGUGGACGCAUCACUGGUGUUCGGGUUGUCAUGCCAAUGGCACUGCCCGGUAGCUAAAUGCGGAAGAGAUAAGUGCUGAAAGCAUCUAAGCACGAAACUUGCCCCGAGAUGAGUUCUCCCUGACCCUUUAAGGGUCCUGAAGGAACGUUGAAGACGACGACGUUGAUAGGCCGGGUGUGUAAGCGCAGCGAUGCGUUGAGCUAACCGGUACUAAUGAACCGUGAGGCUUAACCUU